AUACAGAGAAUAGAGUAGAGAAUGCUCAAUAACUAGGUGGAGUUCUACUUUUUUGGUCCCUGGUACAGUGCAGUGAGCAUAUUUCUUUUAGAUCUCUGCACAUGAGGUCUUUCGACCUCAUAAACAUACCAGUGGAUAUAUUUUUGUUCGUUAUUGACUUGUCAAACCCAUCCCAAUCCAAAUUCCUGGUUCCAUCCCUUGAAGGAAGGCUACCCUCUUUUUUUUUAUACCGUCGGAGUUUAUAUCGGUCAUACUCAAGUUGGUGGGCUAGCCAUCUCUCUGUAUUGUUUGUAAAUUUUCUGUUCUCUUAUCAAUUCUUUUAAUCUUUACAUUACCCAUUUUAUUAUCGAGGACCUCUUUAGACUAGGUGGCAUGAAAAAAAAAAUGGCAGGGAACUUGGGGAGGGGCACUGGAACUUGCUUUUCGGCAGAAACUUGAAAAUUUAAAUUGUGAGAUCCAAGCACUUGUUAGAUUGGUGGUCCUUGCAUCACCUAUGGGAACAGCACAAAUUAACUGCAUCUUUCCCCAUUGCACCCAGAACUCCAGCAAACUGGACUCUUUAAUUGGAUCAAAAUACAAAUGCACCUUGUAUUAGGCCUUCAAAAUAUUGGGUUUGUGGUUCUCGUCUUAUCUAGAUGGCUAAACUGUUGUCAUGAUCACUGAUUCCUAGCAGAAAACUUUAUAACCCAGGUUUCUUAUCAGCUUAUACUUAUUUCAGCAAAUCAGAGCACCGAACUUUUGAGCAUUAUUUCAAUAUUGGUAGGUGAUUGAUGUAUUCUUAAAGAAUGCCAGAGCGGCAGAGUCGAACACAGGUAUGGGUGGACAACUGAGGAUAAACCCACCACUUGGGCUAUCUGUUCAAGUUGUAGGUAUAUCACUUUAAAUUAUAAAGCCUGAAGGCCAUUCCCUAUGGAAAUGUCACCUUUGCCCUCCUAAAUAUACGGACACAACAAAGCACCAAACCAUAAGCUCCGGCUUUUCUCCUUUACAGCUGUCCCAGUUUCUCCACAUGAUGUAUGUAUCGUGUAUCAUUAUUUUUGAAAUUUGAAAUUCAAACUUCUCAUAUUUUCACUUCUCUCUCUCUUAAAUCUUUGAUCACAUUCAUUCUCUCAUAAUACUAUAACUAUUUAGUUUUACAUGUUUCAUCUUUUGUCCUGCUUUGUUUUUCAUUUUUGCCGAUAUAUUUUUAAUAUAUAUUAUAUGAUUUUAGAGAUUUACACUAAUUAAUUUCAAAUGUUGUGUAUGCAGAUUUGUAGUUGAAAAACAUAUGUAUCAGUUUUUGAUUGCAGCAGAUGUGACAAAUCCCAUAACAUCUGAGAUUUGUGGCUGGAAAUCAAGCAUAAGAGAAUCUACUCAGAAAAGGCGUGAAUGAAUUUAAGAUUCAGGUAGCACGAAUCCAACUCGAGGACUACAAGAGGAGGAUUUCGACUUCUUGAUUGAUAACAUCAGGAUUGAUGAACAAUUCUCGCUAGUGCGGAGGCCCCUCCAUGGCAAUUUUCUUUUGAGAUUGCAAAGUCGUUGCUUGAUAAAGAACGUUACAAGAUUCAGAUGAUGAAUCUGACCUAGAGACUAAUGAUUUGGCUAUAGGUUUGACUUAAGCUGCAGAGCCUGUACAAUGAAAGGGAAGCAUGCAGCAGCCAGACCAAGCCAGAUAAUAUUGGCCUGUUUUCAGCCUCUUCAUGGAUUAAAGGGAACCAUUUGCCUAUGACAAGCAUUGAAUAGUCUGAUUAUUGUCACAAUAGAGAUCAUUUUGGACUAAGAAGAGGUUAUGAUGUAAGAAAAUUGUGCCCUCAAAAUAAAUAUGAAAUGGGUCAUCCUGCUAAGGAAACAAAUAUGAAAUUGGUAGAUAUAUGCAUAAGGAAACACUUUAUUCUGACUCCAAUGAGCACCUGGAUGAGCAUUGCGGCUGAGAGCACUUUGCUUUUAGGAAGUUUAUGUAAAGUUCUUUGCCCUGUGAGGGUAUGUUGAUAUUCAUCUAAUUUCAGUGCACUGCUGUGGUACAUUAUACUUGGCCUGAAAUUCAAUCUAACAGGGUAGGCUUUAGAUGAUUCAAAUGAAAAAACUGAGACAACGAUAGGAGUGAGAUCUGUAUAUUAGUGUCAUCGCUCCUCAAAUAUAUAUACCCUCAAAUAUAUAUAUUUUGAGAGAUUGAGUGAAGCUGCAGAAAUUUUUUUGGUCACUUCCAAUUAAUAAAUUCAUAUACGUUAUAAUUAUUAUGUCA